rnacentral:misc_RNA from 1 species
CUACUUGUCUAACUGGAGCCUCCAAAAUUCAUUAUAUGCCUAAACAAUCAAAUUUAGUCUUAAAGUACAUAUUAAAAAAAAGAAGGUUAAUGUCAUGAUAACACUUACAUGGACAUUCUAGCACACAGAAGAAAUAAAUAGGGACUCCAAAAUGUUCAGUAGUGGAAAUCAAGGUAAAACUUGGGUAAAACUAACAAAUGCAACUAUGUGAUCAUCAAAAGAAGCAUGACCACACAUCUAAAGAUAAUCACUGUUUACUAGUUUGAGGAGAUUUACCAAGAUACAAUGGUACAUACAAGAACUAAAAUAACAAAGCCGAUUCCAGGUCUCAAAAUGAAGUGUUCAAGCAAAACUAUGGAAAGGUUCCUUAGCCAAAGAUUCCUUAGCAAAAUUCUUCCCGCUAAACCCUUUGCAAAGAUUCCUUAGCCAAAGAAUUCUUCCCGCAAAACCUUUUGCAAAACUAUGGAAAUUGACUUACCUGAGCAGAUCGACAUGCCAAUAGGUGUGC